UACGAAGGGGGCUAGCGUUGUUCGGAUUUACUGGGCGUAAAGCGCACGUAGGCGGAUCGAUCAGUCAGGGGUGAAAUCCCAGAGCUCAACUCUGGAACUGCCUUUGAUACUGUCGAUCUGGAGUAUGGGAGAGGGCAGUGGAAUUUCAGGUGUAGCGGUGAAAUGCGUAGAUAUCUGAAGGAACAUCAGUGGCGAAAGCGACUGCCUGGACCAAUACUGACGCUCAUGUGCGAAAGCGUGGGGGGCAAACAGG
rnacentral:rRNA from 1 species